rnacentral:lncRNA from 1 species
CACGGGGUCGAGGGUGGGGUCGUGGGGGGCGGCCCCCCAGCAAGACCCCCUGCCGGCAUUUCCUGAAGGGGGGCUGCAGAAAUGGCGACGAGUGUGGCUUUGCUCACACCAUGCCAUGAUUGGCUGCCUCAGCGCCACUGCAUCUCUUGGCAGCCAAUCGCAAUGCAUUUGACCAGGCAUGCGUGCUUCCUAUUGGUCAAUUGCUGCAAUUAAAAUUGAUAAUGUAUAACAUGAAUUCCACUGCCAUCUGUAAACUGUAAAGAUUGCAUUGAUAUUCAAUCUGUGUCUUAAAAUUCUUCGGUUUCGUGGCAUUACUGAAUGAUGCUUUCUUCUAAGCAAUAGCAUUUUCACCAUGGCCUUUCAAAUCAAAUGUUAACACUCCCUUUAUUGAAGAAUUUAUAGCCCAUGGGAUAUAAAUAUUUACUCUUAUAACUCACUGGGUGCCAUGAUAAGGCUUCCGUGAUUGGUCAACCGCAAGGAAGGAUGCCUCUGAUUGGCUCUCGAUUCUCAUGAGAUCUUUGUAGUAGAGUGUAAGAAAUAAGUCGAGUCUGUGAUAUUUUACUGCUGUAAAGCUUCUGUUUUUCUUCGUUACUGUUGCUUCUGACGUCACUUUCUCAUGAUGACGUCACUCGAUUUGUUCACAGUUGUGUUCGUAUUUGAGAAUAGAUGAGAUAAUAACCUUAUCUUGUACAACAUGAUAAAUAAUCACACUUGUCUACACAUUAUCGUAUCUGACGUGUUAAAUCAUAGGCGACAUCUCCAUGCUACGGAAGCGGUUAUCUUCUCACCAUGUCCGAAUACUUUCCUGUCAUUGGCCAGAGAGGUUCCAACUAGGAAUAAUCGACUUAGUUUAUCAUUGGCCAGAGAGUUUCCAAUUAGGAAUAAGCGACCUAGUUCAUCAUUGGCCAGAGUUUCCAACUAGGAAUGACUGACAUAGUUUAUCAUUGUUCAGAGUUUCCAACUAGGAAUGACUGACAUAGUUUAUCAUUGGUCAGAGUUUCCAACUAGGAAUAACUGACCAAGUUUAUCAUUGGCCAGAGAGUUUCCAACUAGGAAAACCCGACCUAGUUUAUCUUAGGUCAAAGAGUUUCAACUAGGAAUAAAUUAUCUAGUUUAUCAUUGGCCAGAGAGUUACCAACUAGGAAUAAACGUGCUGGCUCAUCAUUGGCCAGAGUUACCAGUUAGGAAUGACCGAGCUAGCUCCUUGCAUUGAUAGACCUAUUUAGUAUAUUCAUUAAAAUAUUUACUUUUCUUCUAGGCUGAAACAUUUUCUAGUGGAAAUAUUGUAUGUGAACCGUUAUAUUUCAUUGGCUAGAUGGGAAUCAAGUUGAAUAUUAUGCAGUAAACCGUGCCACCUUAUUGGCUGGAAGGUAGUCGGAUGGAAAUAUUAGGAAGUCAAUCAUUUAAUUGGUUAUUAGUUGCCAUGUAGGAUUUAUUUUGUAUUAACUUGCGAUUCACACACAAACAAAACUUUAUUAUCGUUGUUAUUGCUGAUGCUGUAACUUGUAUAUUUUAAAGUGUAAAUAUGCAGAUUAGGUUAAGGAUCAUGGACGGUAUGGUGGCCUUUGUAGAUAAUUCACAACAGUCAAAGUACGACAACGGAACGACGUUUUUCGAAUCAUUCGUUUGGCUCCAAACGGGCUGUAUUGUACGUUUGGAUCAUGCAUUCUUGAAAUAAUAUGCACAGUUGUAGUAAAUAAGGCUUGCUCAUUCAUAUUUCAUGAACAUAUUAGGUUCAUGUUAUUUGUUUUUAAUAUGACAAUUUAAGCAACUUGAGGGCAGCAUGAAAAAUACCGAUGCAUGUAACUUGCGGACGCCAUCCUAGGUUGCGCCAUUAGAACAAACCUUAUUUUAAUCAACGUGUUUUGUUUACGUUUUGAAAGCAUUAUUCGGAAUGUCGUCUGUAGUACCAAGCGUGUAAGGCUGUUGAGGUAAUAUUAGCUCGUUAUUGCCAGUAAUUGCAGUAUAAAAUUCAGUAUAAUUGAUUGAAAUUCAAAGAAAGACUGCUGUAUCGGGAUGGAAAAUCCUCUAUGGAAAAGAAAAAUCUAAAAGGCAACUCGAUGAAAGAUGGCUUAGUCGAUACUAAAAUAAAAACGUUUCUUUGUUGACUCGUUUUACAGGAAAACGUUGUUGAGUUACCCCUCUCCCACCCGUGUAAAUAAAUGAUGAUGACGUCUGUCAUCGUCAAAGGAAUUGUCAACAACGACGAUGUGCCGAAACGCUUGUUGAAAUGGUUACCCAUUCGUUAGAGUAAAGAAAACGAUGUCCUGGGCGAUUAGAAAACGGGCGAAUUUGAGGGGUGACUGCUUUAUGCAGAUGUGUUGUGUGACUCUUGUACGUUGUGGGAACAAGGUGACCUGCGGGCUGUAUACGUAAUACGGUGAUGCCACGUAUGUUGCGUACAAUGUACAGUCAUGUCACGCAAACUAUAUACGUAAAACGGUGACUUCACGCGGGUUGUUCACGUAUAACGGUGACGUCAUGCAAGUUGUUUACGUUGUACGUUGACAUCACGCAGGUAACAGGAUGUUUACGUCACAGGUCUUACCACUUCGUCAAUCUAGUGCCCCCUUAUCUCUGUAUUAAGUUGUAUAUUGGCUGCGAUGCCAACCGUUAUCUUUCGCCAUUUGAUUUAACAUUAAAUGAGUUAACCGAGUCACGUGUGUGUUGUGUGCUGUGUUUGUUUCUCAUGUGCAGACAUGUUUGUUUGGCUGCUGGAGCACCGCCAUGUAUGUAACUAUUUUUCCUAAUAUACUUUGUACGAAA